rnacentral:rRNA from 1 species
UACGGAGGGUGCAAGCGUUAUCCGGAUUCACUGGGUUUAAAGGGUGCGUAGGUGGGUUUGUAAGUCAGUGGUGAAAUCUCCGAGCUUAACUUGGAAACUGCCAUUGAUACUAUAGGUCUUGAAUUUUCUGGAGGUAAGCGGAAUAUGUCAUGUAGCGGUGAAAUGCUUAGAUAUGACAUAGAACACCAAUUGCGAAGGCAGCUUGCUACAGGAACAUUGACACUGAGGCACGAAAGCGUGGGGAUCAAACAGG